GGCAGUUGGUGCAGUGGUUAAAGGUGGCGAUGAAGUUUUCAUCAGUGAUGAUAGUGAAUCAAGUGAGGUAGCCAGUGCUUGUUGUCAUAAUCAGCACAAAAAAUUAUUGAACUGCUACAAUAAGAAAUAAACACGGCCAAUCAUACUACACAACUUUCAGCACCAGAAGAGAUACUGCUCACCAUCAAGAUUGAGCCGGAUGGCAGCGAACUGGAGCUACAGGUAGCCCUCAAGAAAGCACGGAGACUGAAGCUGCAGGAGGCUAUUACAGAAUCAAAGAACAGUGUAAAAAAGGUGGCAGAGUCAGUACUGGAGAGAAACUGAGAAGGAAACAUGGAAGGUGGUUCUAUUGUGCUGAAUGCUACUGCAGAAUUCUGCUAUACGUUGGGUGACGUCCCCAUUUAUGGUCUCUCUGGCAACAGGGAUGAGGACACUCAGGAACUACUUGACUUUGAGAGGGAAAUGAUUGAAGAGAAGAAACGUCAGGAAGAAGAAGGUAACCGUGGAGCUAGGAAUGAAUUUGAGAUUGAGAUGAUGAAAAGUUUGGACAUCGCAAGCGCUACAGUGGUCUGACCUGAGACUUCAAAGAAAAGGAGGGCUACAAACCAAAUGUUAAACUCGACUACACAGAUGAUGAUGGAGAUGUACUUAGUGCAAAGGAGGCUUUCAGAAUUUCUCAUGAAUUUCAUGGAAAGGGACCCGACAAAAAUAAAGUGGAGAAGUGAAUGAAGAAAACUGAACAGGAAGGAGGCAACCAUCUCAAAAAUAAAACUGCAAAUUCCUCAUGUAAUGCGCUGGCACCAACUCUGAACUUUGGCGUGGACUUAUGUUUUAUUGUUUCUUACUGUCUGGAAUAUCAUCUCUCUUUUUAAAUAAGACACAGCUUGCACCUGCCGACAGUGCCUAUGUGUACUGGAAGGAGGGCCACACAGUUCAUGUGACAUUCAAAUGAAUACAGUGCUUCUCCUGCUGGCACCUGUAAGCUGAAAGAUACAAUUUCUAGUGAUUAGUUGCUUGUUUAUAGGACAUGAGCCAGAUGAACAGCCUCUAAGCUAAAUCAGACAUUAAUCAGUAAUUUUAUUUGGCCUUUCUUGAUUGAAAUAGCAAUAUUGUAUCCUUCCAAGGGAAGAAAGAAACCCUUGUUCAUUGAUAGGCCAGUAUGAAAAACUGUAAAAUUAUACAAGCAACAGAAUCAGAAGAUAUACAGUCUACUGCAAAUCAUUGUAAAGCACCAGUGAUAUAUCACUGAAACAUUUGUAAUGGGUUAUAAAAGUAACUUGGGUCAUCCUGGUCUGUCACACUAGUAACUGUAUAUAUAAGGUUUUUAACCACUGCCGAGUGUGAUUGAUAAAAGUUGUUUUUAGUUUUUCGUCCUUUACAUGUUUCGGUCAAAAUGACCAUCUUCAGAAGGAUAUUAUCAACACGGAUGGAAACUGCUGUUACAUGGCAUACAUAUAUAUGUUAUAGCUUUUAACUAAUAUUAAGGUGUACAUUGAUUUGUUAAAACAUCUAAAAAAUAUUACAAUUAGUCUGUUUACAAAAUAAUGUUCAGUGUUUGUUUUAAAGUAGAAGCAAUUUGGUUUCUUGUCCUUACACUUUUGUAAUAAUUUUAGAUGUUUUAACAAAUCAAUGAUAUAACAUAUAUAUCUAUGACUUGUAACAGUAGUUUC